GAUGAACGCUAGCGGCAGGCCUAACACAUGCAAGUCGAGGGGUAGCAGGAUUAAGCUUGCUUAAUUGCUGACGACCGGCGCACGGGUGCGUAACGCGUAUGCAACCUACCUUAUACUGGGGUAUAGCCCGGAGAAAUUCGGAUUAAUCCCCCAUAGUACUAAUGAAUCGCAUGGUUUAUUAGUUAAAGCAUUGCGGUAUAAGAUGGGCAUGCGUCCUAUUAGCUAGAUGGUGAGGUAACGGCUCACCAUGGCUACGAUAGGUAGGGGGCCUGAGAGGGUGGUCCCCCACACUGGUACUGAGACACGGACCGGACUCCUACGAGAGGCAGCAGUGAGGAAUAUUGGUCAAUGGGCGCAAGCCUGAACCAGCCAUGCCGCGUGCAGGAAGAAUGCCCUAUGGGUUGUAAACUGCUUUUAUUUGGGAAUAAACCUCUUUACGUGUAGAGAGCUGAAGGUACCAAAUGAAUAAGCACCGGCUAACUCCGUGCCAGCAGCCGCGGUAA
rnacentral:rRNA from 1 species